CCGGGCGUCCCUCCCACUGGCUGCGGGCGGCCGGGACUGGACGGGAGUGGAGGCAGGUCCUUGGACUGCAGGCUGAGGCUUCUUCCCACCACGAGCGGUUUGGGCCCUCCAGGAGCCCCCGCGCGGGGGUCACGUGGAUUACGCUAGGAUUUUACCCAUGAACGUGAACAUGAACGUGUUUUCAACCCCAGCGGUUCCCCUGGCGCCUCGACCCUCCUUUGAAGAGUCAUUCUAGAAGGCUGUAUUGAGAUAGUUUGUACCUGUCACUGUGAGCCCUGAAAAGAGACAGAAGGAAACGCGAGUCCCUGGCCUGAGGGUGCUUCGUCCCGUGGGUAGCCAGAAGCCCUCAAAAGAAGCCCAUUGUCCUAACAGAGCACACACAUUGGGGAAGUGAGGGGGGACGCUUUCUGCUGACAGAACAACAUAAGGUGGACUCGCCCUUCUGGAUUUGAAACCUCAACUUGUUCACAAUUUUGAGACUUUCAGGUUCAGACUCUGCACAUCACCUUCAGUAA